CAAUCUCUCCCCUUUUUGCAAGGAAACGUCUCAGCCGUGGGAGCUGGAGUUUCUGCGGCGGCUACAGCAGCUUUGACAGCUGUGAUGAGCAGCCCGGCUAUGGCUUUGGUGGACGACAGGAUGUCAACUGAGGGAACCGGCUUGCCCUUUGGACUUAGCAACAACCUCUUGGGAUGGAUUCUUUUGGGAGUGUUUGGUUUGAUCUGGACUUUCUACUUUACCUACACUUCUUCUCUGGACGAGGAUGAAGAAUCUGGUCUUUCACUCUAAACAUGAACUGUAUAUGUUCUUCAUCAGUGUCAUCGCUCUCCUUUUCCAUUUUCGUGAUCGGAAGAGGUCGU